GGAGCUUGCUCCUUCUGGAUGAGUUGCGAACGGGUGAGUAACGCGUAGGUAACCUGCCUCUUAGCGGGGGAUAACUAUUGGAAACGAUAGCUAAUACCGCAUAACAGUCGACAUUGCAUGAAGUUGACUUGAAAGGUGCAAUUGCAUCACUAAGAGAUGGACCUGCGUUGUAUUAGCUAGUUGGUGAGGUAACGGCUCACCAAGGCGACGAUACAUAGCCGACCUGAGAGGGUGAUCGGCCACACUGGGACUGAGACACGGCCCAGACUCCUACGGGAGGCAGCAGUAGGGAAUCUUCGGCAAUGGGGGGAACCCUGACCGAGCAACGCCGCGUGAGUGAAGAAGGUUUUCGGAUCGUGAAGCUCUGUUGUAAGAGAAGAACGAGUGUGAGAGUGGAAAGUUCACGCUGUGACGGUAUCUUACCAGAAAGGGACGGCUAACUACGUGCCAGCAGCCGCGGUAAUACGUAGGUCCCGAGCGUUAUCCGGAUUUAUUGGGCGUAAAGCGAGCGCAGGCGGUUAGAUAAGUCUGAAGUUAAAGGCUGUGGCUUAACCAUAGUACGCUUUGGAAACUGUUUAACUUGAGUGCAAGAGGGGAGAGUGGAAUUCCAUGUGUAGCGGUGAAAUGCGUAGAUAUAUGGAGGAACACCGGUGGCGAAAGCGGCUCUCUGGCUUGUAACUGACGCUGAGGCUCGAAAGCGUGGGGAGCAAACAGGAUUAGAUACCCUGGUAGUCCACGCCGUAAACGAUGAGUGCUAGGUGUUAGACCCUUUCC
rnacentral:rRNA from 1 species